rnacentral:rRNA from 1 species
AUACGUAGGGGGCUAGCGUUAUCCGGAUUUACUGGGCGUAAAGGGUGCGUAGGUGGUUUCUUAAGUCAGGAGUGAAAGGCUACGGGCUCAACCGUAGUAAGCCCUUGAAACUGGGAAACUUGAGUGCAGGAGAGGAAAGUGGAAUUCCUAGUGUAGCGGUGAAAUGCGUAGAUAUUAGGAGGGAACACCAGUAGCGAAGGCGGCUUUCUGGACUGUAACUGACACUGAGGCACGAAAGCGUGGGGAGGC